rnacentral:lncRNA from 1 species
UUCUCCAAAUUCUUUUUCAGUCCCUCUGUUUUCUGUGGUAUUUCAUGGACUCUUCUGUUCUAGUUUGGAUAGACUUAGUAUUUUUUCACGUUGUACCUUCAUUUGAAAUUAUGCCCUAAAAAUCUCUUGUUUAUUGUUACAGUCAUAGACAAUAAGGUUUGUUGCAAUCCUGGACCACUCAGAAUCAGGAAAAGGCAGAUGAGGCGUAAACAAUGGCAUCCUGAGCAUCAAAAGCUAAAGAAAUGAAGACAACUGGCUGGUGGCCUGACAUUAGCUGGAGGUGAGCAACAAAGGAGAAUGCUGGAAUGAUUGGCCUGACUGGGAAGUGCAGACUUGCCUGGGAGUUCAGCACUGCAUUUGGCCUGGUCUGCCGGUCUUUCUGAGCCCCUCAUUACUGAGCUGCAACAUCACCAUCCACAACAAUUCAGAAAUGGCAAUAAAAAACAAGGAAGCUUUUCUUCAGAAGCAGAGAUUUAGGAGUGGUUAUUGACAGCAGUUCAGUCUGCCACACCCAGGUAAGAAAGAGCAAUGAGAAAGUCUUGCUUCAGGUCCCAAGGAAAUGAAAGCUAUAGUCACAAGU